UACAGGGGGGGCAAGCGUUGUUCGGAAUUACUGGGCGUAAAGGGCCAGUAGGCGGCCAACUAAGUCACACGUGAAAUCCCCAGGCUUAACCUGGGAACUGCGUGUGAUACUGGAUGGCUUGAAUUCGGGAGAGGGAUGCAGAAUUCCAGGUGUAGCGGUGAAAUGCGUAGAUAUCUGGAGGAAUACCGGUGGCGAAGGCGGCAUCCUGGACCGACAUUGACGCUGAGGCACGAAGGUCAGGGGAGCAAACGGG
rnacentral:rRNA from 1 species